UGCUUCAAUCCAAAUGUGACUGUAUCUCAAAACCCUUCUCAAUCAUGUCCCUUACAACUUUGAUGUUUAGGUCAAUGCUUAGGCUUCUAACAUUGUUAAUUUGUGAGCCUGCCACUUCAAUUCCAACAUUGCUAUACUAUAGUGGUCUUCUUCCUCACAAUAUGGUUCUACUAAGAAUGGUUCGUCACGAAUUACUUGAACAAGAAAAUUAUCUCUUCCGUUUACUCAUUAGCUUAAUGAGUUGUUUUUUGUGAACUAAUUGUACCAAUAUUUUUAAUCAUUUUUAAUCUUCAUUUAGUGGGUUUAUAGUAAAUUAAGUUGAGAUUAAGCUCAAUGACAAGCAAUUUUAAACUUAGGAAGAGCAAUGUAGUUGCUUCUGAGGCAAAGCAUGAAAGAAAUAAUUAAAGAAUAAUCAAUUUAUUAUCGAA